GAAUGUGAGGGUGAUCUGGCUGCGACAUCUGUCAGUCCAUUGAUCUCCAGAGUUGAUUAGCUGAUGUGGCUGGCUAGGUGGGUGUCCCCUUCCUCUCUCAUAGCUCCAUGUGUUUCCCUCCUGAAGCUGUGUGCUGGGGUGAAGAGGAUGACCAUCUCUGAUAGUGGAGGACCCUUCUUCAGUCAAGGGUAUACAAGUAGCUGCACUCCCCUGCUAGAACCUCCAAACAAGCACUCAAAGAAAGGAAAGGAAUGGGAAGGAAAGGAAAAAGGACGAAGGAAGGAGAAGAAAGAAAUUGAGUAUCUUUAUAU
rnacentral:snRNA from 1 species